AUUGAACGCUGGCGGCGUGCUUAACACAUGCAAGUCGAUCGGUAACGCGGGGGCAACCCUGGCGACGAGAGGCGGACGGGUGAGGAACGCUUGGGAAUCUGCCUAUCAGCGGGGGACAACACGGGGAAACUCGUGCUAAUACCGCAUACGCUCUACGGAGGAAAGCCGGGGACCGCAAGGACUGGCACUGAUAGAUGAGCCCAAGCCGGAUUAGCUAGUUGGCGGGGUAACGGCCCACCAAGGCGACGAUCCGUAGCUGGUCUGAGAGGACGAUCGGCCACACUGGGACUGAGACAAGGCCCAGACUCCUAGGGGAGGCAGCAGUGGGAAUAUUGGACAAUGGGGGAAACCCUGAUCCAGCGACGCCGCGUGGGUGAAGAAGGCCUGCGGGUUGUAAAGCCCUUUCGGUAGGGACGAAAGCUCUCGACCUAACACGUCGGGAGGUUGACUUAACCUACAAAAGAAGCACCGGCUAACUCUGUGCCAGCCGCCGCAGUAAAAC
rnacentral:rRNA from 1 species